rnacentral:piRNA from 1 species
UGGGAAGAUCUAAGAUUUCCUAAGACAGGC